rnacentral:rRNA from 1 species
UGUUCUGCUAUCACUCUUGGAUGGACCUGCGGUGCAUUAGCUAGUUGGUAGGGGUAACGGGCCUACCAAGGCGAUGAUGCAUAGCCCGAGUUGAGAGGCUGAUCGGGCCACAUUGGGACUGAGACACGGGCCCAAACUCCUACGGGAGGCAGCAGUAGGGGGAAUCUUCCACAAUGGACGCAAAGUCUGAUGGAGCAAAACGCCGCGUGAGUGAAGAAGGGUUUCGGCUCGUAAAAGCUCUGUUGUUGGUGAAGAAGGACAGGGGUAGUAACUGACCCUUUGUUUGACGGUAAUCAAUUUAGAAAGUCACGGGCUAACUACGUGCCCAGCAGCCGCGGUAAA